AAAUACUUUGUCUGACCAUGCAGGAGGAAGGAGUCUUUUCAGCAUGUGGAUUUUUUUAGGUUUCCUCUCCCACAUCUCAACGGUGGGGUCUCUGAAUCUUCAAACUGCUCCAGUGAGAGAAAACGUCACAAUUCAUUAAUCCGACUCGCACAGAUAGAUUCACAUUGUUUGAUGAAGGAUCAGACUUCACCGUGACCAUCACUGACCUCCGGUUAACAGACUCUGGCACUUACAUCUGCGCAGUAGACAGAUUUUUUAAAGACACUUACAACUAUGUAACUCUACAUGUGAUUAAGGGUAAGUUAUGCACGGAAUACAUUUCAUAAGUUAUUUUAGUAAGUUUUAUGGGUUGUUGUUUCAUAUCAGCCAUAUAAGCUAAUGGAUAGUUGGAGCUGGAUUGAUGGUGUUUGUGGCACACAGUGUUCUGGAGUGGUAGGAAGCACUUGCAUUAUUAGUG